rnacentral:rRNA from 1 species
GAUGAACGCUGGCGGCGUGCCUAAUACAUGCAAGUCGAACGGAGAUGCAGUAGCAAUACGGCAUCUGAGUGGCGAACGGGUGAGUAACGCGUUGGUGACCUACCCCGAAGAGAGGGGAUAACAGUUCGAAAGGACUGCUAAUACCCCAUGUGGUCAUAGAGGUUAGAGGCUUUAUGACUGAAGGCGAAAGCCGCUUCGGGAUGAGCCCUGCGUCCCAUCAGCUAGUUGGUAGGGUAAAGGCCUACCAAGGCGUAGACGGGUAGGGGACCUGAGAGGGUGGCCCCCCA